GCCACAAGGUGGGAAGGUUAAGAUGAUCAAGUGAUGCGUGGAAAGCUACGAUUUGGAUACAUGGAGGCAGAACAAAUCAAUUGGCUGCAACUGCAAACUGAAGAAGAUGGUUUAUGAGGUAAUGCGUAUGGCUGCCUGAAUCUUCUACUUGGGGUGUUGCUCACUCUUCAGAAUCUCACGACUCCUAGUUGCUUUGGUUUAUUAAAUAGCUUUUCUACCUUUUCUUGUCCCAUAUCCUGCAGCUUCUGGUUUAAAAUUGGCAAUACUAGAGAAAAAUGCAUCAAUAGCUGCAAUUGGAAUAGAGGAGUUGCUUUUCCCACUCGUUCAAGUGCAUUGACGUUAGGAAUGACUCAUCAUAAGUUUCUUUCACUUCUGGUGGGCUCUAUGGGAAGCUGACUUGUGCUUUACGGCCCAGUCAUCAUCGUGGUAGAGGUCAAACACUCCGAUGAUUUUGGGAUGCACUUUUCAAGAUUCAUGACAAUGUCCAAUAUCUCAGUCAACAUGGACUUUGCAAACGGCCCGAGCUGACGCUAAAUUCAUAGUCAACCCACCUGGAUUUAAUAAAUGCAGAGUCAACUUCAAAUGGCUCUGACCAUGUGGGCAAGGAAUAGAUCAAUUCCACUGGCCGGGUUUACCUCUUCGCCAUUUCAGGAGCAGAGAAAAACAAUCUAUGAUUUUGGAAUAUUAUCACUCUUAAGUAGAAUUUUCAAAAAUCACAAAACCGUCGCGCUUAUUGCAUUGUAUCAAAAAGAAAAGUCUGUGCAUGUGCACUUCUAUAAUUUUUGAAAAAUCAAAGUAAUCAUUGAAAUGAUGGAAGCCACUAUUUAUUUAUUUAUCCAUUUACAUUUACUAAUGUUCUCUGGAAACCAUAUCCAUUGGUAGCUGGACAAAGCAUGUGGAUGUAAUGUUUGAAAGCUAGACAACUGACCCGGGGUUUGACCCAGUUCGGUGACUUGAUCUACGUGUUUUUCAAUAGACCAUGACCAUCUUCAGGCAUCCAAAAAAGCAGUUAUUGAGCAGGUGGGCCCACCGGUUGACUUUUAGGGUGCGUUUUGAUUGUGUAAGUUACUUUAGGUAAGUUAUUGCCACAAGUAGCUUAUCUUGAUUUUUACUUAUUCAGUUGAUAAGUAUAUUUAGUAAAUCCAUGCUUAUCAAUCAAAAAGUUUUUUUUUUUUUUUUUUAAACGUAUUUAGUUUCUAACAUCAUAAGUAUUUAUCUAGUUGUUUGGUCCUCCUCAUACCCACUGUCCAACUUGUAGAGCCAACCUUUGAUGUGGGCCAUUCACUGUGGGCCUUAUCUUUGGUGUGGGCCAUUCAUCAUUAGGGGCCCACCAUCAACAUUAUUGUCCAUCAUGUGGGGCCCACUUCAAUAUUCACAGGCCAUCAUGUA